UGGCUUUCAGUGAAAAUAAGCAAGAGCCACGAGGGGGCGCCCUCUUCCCUUGCCUUGCCUCUGAAAGAUAGGGAAAAAAGAAAGGCAAGGAUCCCCCUCAUCUGAAUGCUCAGAUGGCAGCAAAAGGAGGCGGGGUGGGGGAGACAACGAGACCAGACUCCUGGAAGAUGGUGUCAAGAAGGAGAGGAGCGCCUUUCCUGGAGGCAGAGAGACCUGUGCUGGUGCCUUUGGGGGAGAGGGUUUGCAAGAGGGAUGCGUCUCUCUCUGUCUGCCUUGUAAACCUGCCAAGCGCAAUUGCACCAUUGGGUUGCCGGUCUCUCUCUCACUGUGUGCGUGUGUCUCUCUCUGCCUUGGAGUGGGUGGGGACCCGGGCGCUUCCUUAAACAGCCAGGCGGCCAGGAGGAGGAGGAGGAGGAGGAGGAGGAGGCGUGGAGCCCCGGGCAGCAAGCAAGCAGCAGCCACGGAGACAGCUCGGCCCGGGGUGGGCCAGCCCGACACGUGAGGAAGGAAGGAAGGAAGGAAGGAAAGGCUGCUCUUCGCCUGCGUCUCGACGCGCAAACUUUCCAGGGAGACUUGUGAUCCUCGCCCAACUCGGAGGAUGUCAAGGGGUCCGUCACAGGAAUGCCACUCUAGCACCGAGGGCUUUUGUGAAACCUUUUUUUGCAUUCCCUUCGCCAUGGGGAUGUUUUGCACGUGUGUCUUUUUCCAAGGCUUUUCAGCCCACUCUCGAAAAGGAGCCCCGUUGACAGAAGGUCUACAGGACUCACUUCCCAUGAAGUGCCUCUUGGCUUUGAGGGUAUACAGGCCAUCACAACCUGCUUUUGUGCCAUAAAUUGUGCUGCCCAGAACAGUCCUUUCCAUGUUUUCCUGAAUAUAUAUUAACUUUCUAAAACUAGUCUUCCAUUUGGAAGGAAUGACUAAGGCCCCUUCCACACAGAUGAAUAAAAUCCCACAUUAUCUGCUUUGAACUGGAAUAUAUAGCAGUGUGGACACAGAUAUCCCAAUUCAAAGCAGAUACUGUCGGAUUUUCUGUAUUGAUAUUCUGGGUUAUAUGGCUGUGUGGAAGGGCCCUAGAUUAGAGCUGAUGUAUAUUAGUCUUUAGUCUCAUUUGGCAUUUAUCUGGUGCACCUGUUGCUAUUGCCAUUUUCUACAGUCAAGAAAUGCAGGCAAAUUUUAUUUUAUUGUGAUAUUGAUAUUCUGCCCUGUAUCAUGGGAAUCUGGAUUCAGCUUUCCAUCCCUUGUUGGUUUAUAGAUUAUCUGAUGAGAUUGCUGUGGGUGCAGGAUCAGGCUGGAGAAUCACAUAUGGGAGAUCUAGUUGCACAUAUAAUUCCCCACAGACAUGUGUGAAAACCUAUUUAGCAUGUGCACACAUGAUUACCAACUUUUUUCGUGUCAGGAGCAACUUGAGAAAAUCGCUUCUGGUGUGAGAGAAUUGGCUGUCUGGAAGGACAUUGCUAGGGGAUGCCCGGAUGUUUUACCAUCCUAUGAGAGACACCUCUCAUGUCCCUGCAUGGGGAGCUGGAGCUGACAGAUGGAGCUCACCCUGCUCCCCGGAUACGAACCACCAACCAGGGGGAUGCUCCUUAUCACCAACUGGAGCAGAGUGAUUACUACUGGUCAUUGUAAUGUGUGCCUACGCUGUGUAAAAAUACUGAUUUUAUAAUAAAAGCUAUUUAAAAUCUA